GACGAACGCUGGCGGCGUGCCUAACACAUGCAAGUCGAGCGAUCUUCUUCGGAAGGGAGCGGCGGACGGGUGAGUAACGCGUGGGUAACCUGCCCUGUACACACGGAUAACAUACCGAAAGGUAUGCUAAUACGGGAUAACAUAAGAAAGUCGCAUGGCUUUCUUAUCAAAGCUUUUGCGGUACAGGAUGGACCCGCGUCUGAUUAGCUAGUUGGUAAGGUAACGGCUUACCAAGGCGACGAUCAGUAGCCGACCUGAGAGGGUGAUCGGCCACAUUGGAACUGAGACACGGUCCAAACUCCUACGGGAGGCAGCAGUGGGGAAUAUUGCACAAUGGGCGAAAGCCUGAUGCAGCAACGCCGCGUGAGCGAUGAAGGCCUUCGGGUCGUAAAGCUCUGUCCUCAAGGAAGAUAAUGGCGGUACUUGAGGAGGAAGCCCCGGCUAACUACGUGCCAGCAGCCGCGGUAAUACGUAGGGGGCUAGCGUUAUCCGGAAUUACUGGGCGUAAAGGGUGCGUAGGCGGUCUUUCAAGUCAGAAGUGAAAGGCUACGGCUCAACCGUAGUAAGCUUUUGAAACUGUAAGACUUGAGUGCAGGAGAGGAGAGUGGAUUCCUAGUGUAGCGGUGAAAUGCGUAGAUAUUAGGAGGACACCAGUUGCGAAGGCGGCUCUCUGGACU
rnacentral:rRNA from 1 species